CCUCUCCCGCUGCCCCUCUCCCACCCCAGCUCAUGCUGUCGCUCUCUCUCAACUAAAUAAAAUCUUUUAAACAAACAAUCUAAAUGCUCCUCCACUUAACUGAUUUCACACAGAGAGAGAAGAGAGUUCACUUAAUAACAUUUGCUACAAAGUAAGAACCACUAAGGUUAAUUAAAGGGUCCUAAAUUUAGUUUUAAAGCAAGACCAGAUUCAAUAAGAGUUCCUUAUUUCUUUUGGAAUGUGCAUUCUGCAUUGCAGUCCUGCUAGAAUACCUUAACCAAAAAAACUAGCAAACUUAGCAAAUCUUUUCUUUAAUGGAUUCAAGUGGUUUGUAAGUUUGAGAGUGUGUGUGUGUGUAUGUGUGUGUGUGUGUGUCUGUGUGUCUGUGUGUGUGUGUCUGUGUGUGUGCGCGCGCACGUGGGCACGCAUGCGUCUGUACGUGCAUGGUCCUGCUCACCUAUGGGCGCACUAACAGAGAAACCCAGAGGAACUGGGGAGUGGCACUUCAGAGCUAAAAAGGAGUUCCUGCAUAAACAGUCUGUGUGAUCUCAAGCGGAACAAUCCGUGUAUCCAGGAGGAACCAAGAUUCGGGGGGAAAAGCAGAGACAGGCUUUGGGUCCAGGAAGAUAUGGGUACCAAUCUGCAACUUACCUGCCCUUUAAUCUUGGCCAAUGUAUCUUGCCUCCCUGAGCCUUGAUUAACUCACUCCUCAAGUGCUGAUGAUAACACUCCCUCUCCCGGUUGUUACUGAGAAACUGAGGUAAUAAUACAAACAUUUGUAAAGCGUGUAUUAUACACUGAGCAGCAUUCUGAGCAUUUCGUAGACAUGACCUCAUUUAAACCUCACAGGAGCCACUUGAGACAAGAAUUUCCCUUCCCAGGGGAGGAAAACUGAGGCAAGGGUUAGGGAAUUGCCCCAAGUAUAUGGCAUAGGGUCUGCACACAGUCAGUUCUCAAUAGGUAAUAACAGCCAUUAUUUAUUGCUAAGAGCUUUACAUUUAUUCUCUCAUUGGAUCCUCUGGACAACCGUAUGUGUUUAUCGUGUGCCUGGAGGAUAGCGGACAUGUAAUGAGUAUUUGUUGGAUAAAUGUGAGAAUCCUCCCUGCACAGAAUUAGCUGAGGUUUACAUAAGUAACCUCCUCAAGGUCAUAAAGCCAGAAUAUGCACCCCACACACCAACCCUGUGUGUGUGUGCUCUUAAACAUGCCAGUUGUUUAUGGUCUGUGUGGCCCAUCCCCCUGGGAUCAGAGAGAAGAAAGACCUGGGUAGUGGAAGGGACAUAUCAAAACCAUCAGAAGCAACUAAGAAGGAACACCUCCGGUGUGCUUAGAAAACAUGGAAUCUGUGGUUUUUCCUUUCUCUCUCUCUUUUUCACUCCACUCUUGAUCUCUGUCUCAGCCCCUAAAUAAUCUGUGCUCUGCAGCCUCUGAUGUCUAAUUCUGGCAGGCAAAGGGAAAAAUAUUAGAAAUUGUACUCCGAACUAUCCAUCAUUUAGCUAAGACUUCUUAAGGGUUCUUAAGUAAUCAGGCAUUUGAGGUUUUGGAUUGUAUUUGAGGGGAAGAGGGCUUUAAUGAGGUGAGUGAAGAAGUAUGUGAUCUGUUUUAAUAUACAAUUCCCACAUGCUACAAACAGCAAGGUCCAAAAAACCCAAGUCUUAAAAGACAAUUGAAUAAUAUUUUACUCAAACUAUUACAUGCUGACCUGGAAAUGAAUGUUAAUAUUGAAUUAAUUGCCUUUACAUGCAUCAUUUCUAUCAUAUGGAUAAGUGGACAGAGCUCCCAAAAACGGUUUCUUUGAUUUAGAAUGAAAGAAUAAUGGGUAUUUGCUUCUAGCUUGGCGGACUAAUUAUUGAAUGCUGUCAUUCUUUGUGUUUCAGUACCUUGAAGUGAUUAAGCAGGGAUAAAAGCUAAAAUUAAAAAGAAAAGCCCAUUACCAAAUACUAAACAGCUUCAGUAACUUCCUGCCAGUCUCUGAAGGACAUUCCUGCCUUGUUAUGACAGGGAAUUAUUCAUAAUGUGUGCCUAGCAUAUAGAUUGCAUCCUUUAUUUGAAACAAUAAGAGAGUCAUCCUCAGUAGUUGAUGGAAAUAAAUAGGCAGGCAAAAUUUAAAGGGGGAAAAAAAAAAAAAGACCAACCGGGAGGCCUCGAUAAUAAUUGCUUGUCACCGUAACAUCAAGUAGUCCAUCCUUUUAGGAACUCGUUACGUGGCUAGGCCAUUAUGUUCUCUGGGUGGGAAAAAAAAGUGCAGUAAUUCACAGAAAAGCAAUGACAGUGUUCUGCUGGUUUACCUAAUAGUAUUGACUAGACAGGAGAAUGGUGGCUUGAAAGCAAGGAGUGAUUCUAUAUUUGAAAUUGUUUUGCUGUCUUUUUCACCCAAUCAGAAUUUCUCUCAUUUAAAAAAUAUCAA